AUAUAUAUAUAUAUAUAUAUAUAUAUAUAUAUAUAUAUAUAGAGGUGUUAUGAUUUGGUAAAAAGAUUAGCAUUGGUUACCAUCUUGUGCAUAGUAGCAGCGAUGACUCGGACUUGUGAAAUAUUACCAGCAGAUUGAUUCACAUUUGGCAAGCAAGGAGGUAUUCUAACGUUCUUCCACGGCCGGAACGUUUCUAGAGGGCGUUUCAGGUAGUUUCUUGGUAAUACAGAUUGGUAAACGUGGACUGAGUAGCCCCAUGAUACAGAAACUGACCAGUUGUUUCCUCUUUGGUAACAUAUUGUCUGUUGGAGGAUGCGGGACUGGUCGAUUUUCGCGGUUUUCAUGAGGUGGUUCACUGAUUCCUGGCGGCUCAUGGCUGGGAAUAUGGGGUUUAUGACGUCGAAAUGGUGGAGACUUAUAAGAGGAGACUGAGGAUGAGCUGAUAAGAGACCUGAUAUGUCACCAUGCAGAUCAAUCUGAUCAUAAUAUAUCAAGUAAGAUGGAGUUAGUGUAUGUGAAUAAGAGCAGAUAAGAGCCAUCAAAGAGACCGACACUAAUAUAAAAAGGAUUCGGGUUUAAUUCA